AUUGAACGCUGGCGGCAUGCCUUACACAUGCAAGUCGAACGGAUCCUUCGGGAUUAGUGGCGGACGGGUGAGUAACGCGUGGGAACAUACCCUUUGGUACGGAAUAGCCUCGGGAAACUGGGAGUAAUACCGUAUGUGGUCGAGAGACGAAAGAUUUAUCGCCAAAGGAUUGGCCCGCGUUGGAUUAGGUAGUUGGUGGGGUAAUGGCCUACCAAGCCGACGAUCCAUAGCUGGUUUGAGAGGAUGAUCAGCCACACUGGGACUGAGACACGGCCCAGACUCCUACGGGAGGCAGCAGUGGGGAAUCUUAGACAAUGGGGGAAACCCUGAUCUAGCCAUGCCGCGUGAUCGGUGAAGGCCUUAGGGUUGUAAAGAUCUUUCAGGUGGGAAGAUAAUGACUGUACCACCAGAAGAAGCCCCGGCUAACUCCGUGCCAGCCGCCGCCGUAA
rnacentral:rRNA from 1 species